CGGGGUGUAGGCUAGUUGGUUAAGCCGCGUGCUUCUGGAGCAUGAGAUCAAGGGUUCAAGUCCCUUCGCCCCGA
rnacentral:tRNA from 1 species